rnacentral:rRNA from 1 species
UACGAAGGGGGCUAGCGUUGCUCGGAAUCACUGGGCGUAAAGCGCACGUAGGCGGAUUGUUAAGUCAGGGGUGAAAUCCUGGAGCUCAACUCCAGAACUGCCUUUGAUACUGGCGAUCUUGAGUCCGGGAGAGGUGAGUGGAACUCCGAGUGUAGAGGUGAAAUUCGUAGAUAUUCGGAAGAACACCAGUGGCGAAGGCGGCUCACUGGCCCGGUACUGACGCUGAGGAGCGAAAGCGUGGGGAGCAAACAGG